AACGAACGCUGGCGGCAUGCCUAACACAUGCAAGUCGAACGAGAUCUUCGGGUCUAGUGGCGGACGGGUGCGUAACGCGUAGGAAUCUACCUAUUAGUGGGGGACAACUUAGGGAAACUUAAGCUAAUACCGCAUACGCCCUACGGGAGAAAGAAGGGGAUCGCAAGACCUUUUGCUAAUAGAUGAGCCUGCGUAGGAUUAGCUAGUUGGUGGGGUAAAAGCUCACCAAGGCGACGAUCCUUAACUGGUUUGAGAGAAUGAUCAGUCACACUGGAACUGAGACACGGUCCAGACUCCUACGGGAGGCAGCAGUGGGGAAUAUUGGACAAUGGGCGAAAGCCUGAUCCAGCAAUACCGCGUGUGUGAAGAAGGCCUUAGGGUUGUAAAGCACUUUCAAUUGGAAGGAAAACCUCGAAGCUAAUACCUUCGAGUUUGACAUUACCUUUAGAAGAAGCACCGGCUAACUCCGUGCCAGCCGCCGCGGUAA
rnacentral:rRNA from 1 species